rnacentral:rRNA from 1 species
GACGAACGCUGGCGGCGUGCUUAACACAUGCAAGUCGAACGAAGUGGCGAACGGGUGAGUAAUACGUGAGUAACUGCCCUCCUUUUUGGGAUAAGCCUUGGAAACGGGGUCUAAUACCGCAUAAAGGGGGGGGGCUCGCGGCCUAUCAGCUUGUUGGUGGGGUGAUGGCAUACCAAGGCGGUGACGGGUAGCCGGCCGGAGAGGGGUACGGGCCACAUUGGGCUGGGGUACGGCUCAAACUCCGACGGGAGGCAGCAAUGGGGAUUAUGGCACAAUGGGGGAACCCCUGAUGCAGCAACGCCGCGUGCGGGAUGACGGCCUUCGGGUUGUAAACCGCUUUCAGCCAUGACGCGGUAGUGGCAGAAGAAGCACCGGCUAACUACGUGCCAGCCGCCGCGGUAAUAC